rnacentral:rRNA from 1 species
GACGAACGCUGGCGGCGCGCCUAACACAUGCAAGUCGAACGAGCAAGAGAGAGCUUGCUUUCUCGAGCGAGUGGCGAACGGGUGAGUAACGCGUGAGGAACCUGCCUCAAAGAGGGGGACAACAGUUGGAAACGACUGCUAAUACCGCAUAAGCCCACGGCUCGGCAUCGAGCAGGGGGAAAAGGAGCAAUCCGCUUUGAGAUGGCCUCGCGUCCGAUUAGCUAGUUGGUGGGGUAACGGCCCACCAAGGCGACGAUCGGUAGCCGGACUGAGAGGUUGAACGGCCACAUUGGGACUGAGACACGGCCCAGACUCCUACGGGAGGCAGCAGUGGGGAAUAUUGCACAAUGGGGGAAACCCUGAUGCAGCGACGCCGCGUGGAGGAAGAAGGUCUUCGGAUUGUAAACUCCUGUUGUUGGGGAAGAUAAUGACGGUACCCAACAAGGAAGUGACGGCUAACUACGUG